UACGUAGGGGGCAAGCAUUGUCCGGAAUUAUUGGGCGUAAAGAGCGUGUAGGCGGUCCGGUAAGUCAGCUGUGAAAGUCAAGGGCUCAACCCUUGAAUGCCGGUUGAUACUGUCGGGCUAGAGUUCGGAAGAGGCGAGUGGAAUUCCCGGUGUAGCGGUGAAAUGCGCAGAUAUCGGGAGGAACACCAAUGGCGAAGGCAGCUCGCUGGGACGGUACUGACGCUGAGACGCGAAAGCGUGGGGAGCAAACAGG
rnacentral:rRNA from 1 species